UGUGUUGGCUUUCUAACCCGCACCACUUAUCGUGGUGGGAGACAGUGUCAGGCGGGCAGUUUGACUGGGGCGGUCGCCUCCUAAAAGGUAACGGAGGCGCUCAAAGGUUCCCUCAGAAUGGUUGGAAUCAAUUCAUAGAGUGUAAAGGCAUAAGGGAGCUUGACUGCGAGACCUACAAGUCGAGCAGGGUCGAAAGACGGACUUAGUGAUCCGGUGGUUCCGCAUGGAAGGGCCAUCGCUCAACGGAUAAAA
rnacentral:rRNA from 1 species